rnacentral:miRNA from 1 species
GUUUCUUGGGGGAAUUAU